GUCCUCUAGAAUUUAAUUUUAGGUCUGACCUGCCCAUUGAUAUUAUUGAAAGGCCGCAGUAUCUUAACUGUGCAAAGGUAGCAUAAUCAUUAGUUUUUUAAUUGGAAACUGGUAUGAAAGGUUGGACGAGACACUAACUGUUUCUUAUAAAUUAUUAGAAUUUUAUUUUUUAGUUAAAAAGCUAAAAUUUAAUUUAAAGACGAGAAGACCCUAUAGAUCUUUAUAAUUAGCUGAUUUUUGUUAUUUGGAUUUAUUUAAUGAUAAUUAGUUAUAUUAUUUUGUUGGGGUGACAUGAAGAUUAAUAUAACUCUUUAAUUUAAAUUACAUUGAUUUAUGAUAAAUUUGAUCCUUUAUUAAAGAUUAAUAAAUUAAGUUACCUUAGGGAUAACAGCGUAAUUUUCCUGGAGAGUUCUUAUCGAUAGGAGAGAUUGCGACCUCGAUGUUGGAUUAAGAGAUAUAGCUGGGUGCAGAAGCUUAGCGUAAUUAGUCUGUUCGACUAU
rnacentral:rRNA from 1 species